CCAUGGCACGAUCAUUGAGGUCCAACUUCAGCUGUCUGCUUUCAAGACAUUUCUGGAUCUUGCCGAUAAUGAUCUUACUGGGAAGGAUUUCACGGAGGCCUUUGACGCGGCAUGUUUUCCUCUUACACUCUUCUCAAACACCUUUGACCAAGGUUGGGCAUCAGGUAUCUCGGCAGCUGCAAUACAAGGACUCUUAGAGUUGUUAGUAGAGGGUGGUGCCGAUAAUGUGAACCAGUGCUUU
rnacentral:lncRNA from 1 species